rnacentral:lncRNA from 10 species
UCACCAUCUCCCAUUGCUUGUAAUCAUCUGCUGCUGCUGGGGGCUCCACUAGGAGCAGGAAAUUUUUCCCCUCCACCUUCCAAUCUUCUAGCAUCGGCUCCCAUUGGUAAUGCCUAUCAGGAAACUCGGAAAAGAAAUCUGGGAAAUGCCUUUUCCAGGUUCAGAUCAGUCUGAAGCUGAUAUCACAUGGAGCUGAUAGCCAAUAGACAGGAUUCAGAAUGGAUUUAUUUUAUUAUCCUAUUUUCUUUAUUUCCUUUUCUAACCAUUGAUUCAUUGAGAUAAAGUCUACAAAGUGUCUUUGGCAGUGACUGGACCAUUAUAAAGUUACACACUAAAUGUCAGUCCUAUAGGUGAAGGUCUUCCUAAAAUCAGUUUAUAUUUCCUUGCCUUCUGUAACAAAGGCAACUGAAUAUAAUUUAACUUUUUUUGAUGACUCAAGGUUAACUUUAAAAUGGCAAUGUUCACAUUGCCUUUCAUAAUUUUGAGAUACAGAACGAAGCUUGACCAAAUGCUCUUGUAUCCACACUGCUAUACUUUUAAGGUUUAUGUUUUUUUUCUUUGUCCUCAUCUUCUACCUUAUCAACAAUUACUUCAUCUAAUUGUCAUGUUUUCCCAUUUAAUAGUAUCCUUACUGCUCUUGACUUUGACAACUGAUUUGUUAUAAGUCAAGAUCCAAAACACCCAAAAUUUCUUUAUUUUACAAGAAGGAAAUCUAAAUGGAACCCUGAGUGGCAGUCUUUGAGAGUUCUCUUCAUGAGCAACAUGCUUGAAUGUGCCUGUUCAGAGAUCACUUUUGUCUGUUCUCCGUUUUCUUCUAUUUUCCAGAGAGUUGUAGUUGUUUGCUAAGUACCCUCCAGGUAGUUGAGCUGUUAAUGUAAUAGUGGCCAGCUGGCAACAACAGGCUGAUUUUGUUAAUGGCCUUAGGUGCAUUCUGAAUGAUUCAUCUCAUAAUAAAAAUUAUUUCAUAAUAGAGGGAAAUAAAUCCUUUCUCUUUAUGAACACAAUGAUGGUUUCUUUUGGAAAUUCACGAAAGUCGAUCGUGCUUUGUAGACUAUGAAAAUGAGCUUAGAGAAUCAGUGAAUCACACAAAAUAUUUUCAUGCAUUAUUUCUAGAUCUUAUAUUAAAUAUAUACGUAUAUAUGUGUAUUUAUACUGUGUGAGUAUACAUGUGUGCAUGUUGUGUAUUUACAUGUAUGUAUAUCUAUCUCUAUCUCUCUAUUGGAAAGGAAUGGUGAGUGCAAGAGACUAAAGAAAACCGGGAAGAAAACAUUUUAAAUGGGAGGUAAAUGUAAGGAUAUCAUGAAAGAAACCUUGGCACUUGUCUCUGUUGCCCUACAGCAGGACAUUAUAAGCUAGUACAAUUAAUUGCCCAUAUAUAAAAUAAUAUUACUUUUAUCUAUCUCUUCUAUAGUUCUGUCCACCUUACAUUUUAGACCUUCUUAUCUUUACCAUCUUAUGCCUAGUACUGAAAGAAGUAGCUCCCAGACAUAAAGAUUGAGAUUAUGCUUUCCUAAUAUCCUACAGCUGCCUUUUUCACGCUCCUACCUGUGAGCGGUAUGAAAGCUGAAGGGGUAUUAGCACAUAUAUAGCACUGAGGCAACCCCUUGUGUCAGAGUCACAUAUCCCAUUUGUAACAAAGUGAGGACAAAACUAGGAAUCCUUAUGUUUGAAAAUCCUUAGAAUUUUAAAAGUGGGAGGAACAUAAUGAAAAUAAUAAUUUAUAUAAUAAUAAUAGCAUAUUAGUUUUCUAUUGCUGCUAUUUAAAAAUUGCCAUAAACUUAGUGCAUUCAAGCAACACGAAUUUAUUUACUUACAGUACAGGUAGAUCAGAAGUCUGACACAAGUCUCGGUUGGCCAAAAAUCAAGGUGUCUGCAGUGCUAGUUCCUCCUACGGGAAAAUGUUUCCUUGCCUUUUCCAAAUUCUACUAGCUGCCAACUUCUGUUUUCUUAUGGCCCCUUCCUCCAUCUUUGACACAAAGAAUGGCUACCUGAGUCCUUCUCACUGAAUAUCACUCUUACCCCUGCCUUAGCUCAUCUGCUUCUGACUCUGACUCUUCCGCCUCCCUCUUUUAGCGGCCCCUGUGAUUACAUUGGGCCCACCUGGAUAAUCAUCUCCCUAUUUUAAGGUCAGCUGAUUGGCACACUAAUUCCAUCUGCUAUCUUAAUUCCCUUUUACCUUUUAAUUCACAUACUCACAGGCUCUAGUGAUGAGAACAUGGGCAUUUUCAGGAGGCCAUUACUCUGCCUACACUAGUCAGGAAAAACAAUAAUACAAAUAAAUGCUCCCAUAGUUUCAUGUACUUGUCAUAAAAUCCCUAUCCAUUAGAAAGCUUCAUCUUGUGAGAGAGGAAAUAAUAUCCUAUGGGAUUUUAGCUUUUAUUGGUGAAAACUUUCAAGAAACGUAAAUAUAAAAUGUUAGAAUUGUUUAAGACUUUUAUUCUGUGGAAGAUAAUUAAGUGAAAUUAAAAGAAAACAUUGAAAUUUUCUGUUGGGGAAAUUCACAAAAAUGCAUACAAUGUGGGUUUUAAAAAAGCUUCAGUUUUGUGGAAAAGAGGGAAGAAAAAGGAUACUAAUGAUCUUAUACCCAUUAAGAAGUUAUAAGUAGGCAGGAAGCGGUGGCUCACGCCUGUAAUCCCAGCACUUUUGAAGGCCAAGGCGGGCAGAUCAUGAGGUCAAGAGAUCAAGACCAUCCUGGCCAACAUGAUGAAAGUCUGUCUCUACUCAAAAUACAAAAAUUAGCUUGGCAUGGUGGCGGGCGCCUGCAGUCCCGAACCCGGGAGGCAGAUGUUGCAGUGAGCUGAGAUAAUGACACUGCACUCCAGCCUGGCAACAGAGCGAGACUCAAAAAAAAAAAAAAAAAACGUUAUAAGUGAUUGUUACUUUAAAAUAGCUUUAUUACCUAUCUCAAAUCUCUAAGACCUAAAAGUAGCCGAAUGACAUAGGUGUGAAUGAAUCAACACUGACUCUUACUUGUUGCUUAGUUUGUGUGAUAAUUUCAUCAUGUCAUCCUGACCUCCCCUAAUAUCAUUGAACCUCUACAGAUCUCAGUUACCACAUCAGUCAAAGAUGUUAAUAGUUUUUACUUUGCAAGGUAGUACUGAGGUUAAAUGAGAUAACGUGGGAAAACCAAUAGGGACAUAAGAAAUGCUCAAUAAACUGUAGCCAUUGAGAGCCUUUAUUUUCAGUUACAUUAUUCCCAUCUGCACAGGAUAUGAUGCUGGAUUGUCUGGCUAAAAAGAAACAAGGAAGAACUAUGACAUAGCAGUUCUCAAUUCUCAGCUCGACCAUGUGGAAUUUACCUUUAUUUAAAAUUUUAAAAUAUUUCCUGUAUUUAAAUUUUUUCUUUCCCCCCCCCUACAAACUAGUGACACAAAGUAAGAAAAAAUAGUCCCUCCAAGGAUUCGCUCAAAUAGUGAAUUCCUUUGGGGUUUUUAUAUACGCAUUUGAAAAAUAAAUUACUAUUUAGUAAAAUGUCAGAGAGAGAAAAGUAAAUCACAAGUGAAUCCAACCCUUCAGCUCUUUGCUAUCUUGACUCAUAAAUAAUUGUUUUUCUUGAGGGCAGUGGCCAGCUUGUAUUCAAUGUAUCAAAUUGUAUAGGUUUCUUAGAGUUUAUCACCUGUAGAAGUGGGAGACAGUGAUGCCCAGAGCAUCACUCUGCAGAUCUGUCACUGCCUGAGAGUGCACAGACCAGGGUCAAGAACCAAGUGGGCUUAGAAAACUGAGUAUGAGUGCUUGUUGAAAUCAAAUGAAACUUCAAAUGCCCGCGAGGCCAAACUGAAAGGGCAAUGGCAGACACCUGACACUAGUUCAGUAGCUAAGAUUUUGCACUUUUUUCACCACAACAGCCUGGGUUUAAUUUCUAAAUCAAGACCUUUCUGGUUUGAUAUUUGUGUUACGUUUCAAAUAUCAGCAGUUUGUUCCUGCUAAAAUAUGGUAGUAAGAGAUUUAACAGGAUUUUGUUAAAGAGCUCAAUGGUUAAAAUCAGCUUAAUUAAAAUGUAAUAUCCAAGAUGUGUGUGUGUGUACAUAUAUAUAUAUAAAUGUAUAUAUGUGUGUGUGUGUGUGUGUGUGUGUAUAUACACACACACACACACACACACACACUGUAGAACACAUUUUUAUUUUUAUUUUCUUGACACAGGGUAUUGCUCUGUUGCCCAGACUGGAGUGUGGUGGCUCAAUCUUGGUUCACUGCAGCCUCGAACUCCUGGGCUCAAGCAAUUCUCCCAUCUCAACCUCCCAAAGUGCUGGGAUUAUAGGCUUGAGCCACUGCACCCAGCCCAUAUAUAUAUAUAUAUAUAUAGCCUUUAUGCUUUUUUUUUCUCUCUUAGGAUCUUGUUAAGAAAAGAGUACUUUAUUCUUCUCAGUUGACUGAGUUCUGUUUUCUCCACGUACUUCUGCCUGUCUCUCCUUUCUCUUGCCACCCUGUGCUGCAUAAGGGACCUAAAAUAAUUUCUAAUUGCCAGGGAUUUCUUAAAGAAAACAGAGACAGUUACAGACCCUUUUUUGGAGGAAACUCUGUUUUUCCUUAUGGAAACUCAAGAGUGUAAACAGACAAGUUCCUCUCAGAUCUUCAACUGCUUGCUUUUGUAUCGCAUUACCUGAUUUCUUUUGAAUAAAAUAGUUAUUACUACAGGGGCUACUGUUACGUAUUAAAGUAAAAAAAGGGUGCAGUUUAAACAUAUAGAGAAAUCUCUGCAGCAAGGUGCACUGUAAAAGCACUACAUGGCUUAGUCUCAUGACAUCUAUCUCUGUUUGGAAACCCAGGAUUUAGUGUGGGCUUCACCUAGAGCUCAGAGGUCCGGUUAAAAGAGACUAAAUUUAAA